rnacentral:siRNA from 1 species
CAUACUAAUGUUUGGGAGUAGCCA